rnacentral:rRNA from 1 species
AAACUAGGAUUAGAUACCCUACUAUGAUGUGGAUACUUUAAGGUAGUAAUUAAUAAUUAAAAAACUUAACCUUUCUGGCGGCCUGUUUUUCUUCAGAGGAGCUUGAUUUUAUAACCUGAUACCCCUCCUUUAUCUUCACCUUUAGUAUUUUUAUGUGCGGCUGUUAAGUUUUAAGAUACAGCUUAUUCCUAAAAAUAAUUUUAUCUUAAUUCAGGUCAAUGUGUAGAAAAUCUAAUGGAUAAAUUGAGCUACUUUUAUUAUUUUUGUGAAGUAAUUCUCAAUAAAAAUGGAUUUGAAAGUAAGCAGUUGUUUAAAUCUGUUGCUGGUUAGUUUUUAAGCAGGAGUACAUAUCGCCCGUCACUCUUUUGAUAGAUAAGUCGUAACAUAGUA